AGCUCAGUAGGUAGAGUGUUUGCCUCAUAUGCACAAGGUCCUGGGUUCAAUCCCCAG
rnacentral:tRNA from 1 species